CUGCCAGACUCCUACGGGAGGCAGCAGUGGGGAAUAUUGGGCAAUGGGCGCAAGCCUUACCCAGCAAUACCGCGUGAGUGAAGAAGGUCUUCGGAUUGUAAAUCUCUUUGAUCAGGGACGAACAGAUGACGGUACCUGAAGAACAAGCCCCGGCUAACUACGUGCCAGCAGCCGCGGUAAAACGUAGGGGGCGAGCGUUGUCCGGAUUUAUUGGGUGUAAAGGGCGUGUAGGCGGGAAUGCAAGUCAGAUGUGAAAACUAUGGGCUCAACCCAUAGCCUGCAUUUGAAACUGUAUUUCUUGAGUGCUGGAGAGGCAAUCGGAAUUCCGUGUGUAGCGGUGAAAUGCGUAGAUAUACGGAGGAACACCAGUGGCGAAGGCGGAUUGCUGGACAGUAACUGACGCUGAGGCGCGAAAGCGUGGGGAGCAAACAGGAUUAGAUACCCGUGUA
rnacentral:rRNA from 1 species